GAUGAACGCUGGCGGCGUGCCUAAUACAUGCGAGUCGAGCGAACAGACGAGGAGCUUGCUCCUCUGACGUUAGCGGCGGACGGGUGAGUAACACGUGGAUAACCUACCUAUAAGACUGGGAUAACUUCGGGAAACCGGAGCUAAUACCGGAUAAUAUAUUGAACCGCAUGGUUCAAUAGUGAAAGACGGUUUUGCUGUCACUUAUAGAUGGAUCCGCGCCGCAUUAGCUAGUUGGUAAGGUAACGGCUUACCAAGGCGACGAUGCGUAGCCGACCUGAGAGGGUGAUCGGCCACACUGGAACUGAGACACGGUCCAGACUCCUACGGGAGGCAGCAGUAGGGAAUCUUCCGCAAUGGGCGAAAGCCUGACGGAGCAACGCCGCGUGAGUGAUGAAGGUCUUCGGAUCAUAAAACUCUGUUAUUAGGGAAGAACAAAUGUGUAAGUAACUAUGCACGUCUUGACGGUACCUAAUCAGAAAGCCACGGCUAACUACGUG
rnacentral:rRNA from 1 species